GCUGGUCACAGUGGCACGUGUCUGUAGUCCCAGCUACUCGGGAGUCUAAGGUGGCAGGAUCGCUUGAGCCCAGGAGUUCUGGACUAUAGUGCUCUAUGUCGAUUGGGUGUCCACACUAAGUUCGGCAUCAAUAUGGUGACCUCCCAGGAACGGGGGACCACCACAUUGCCUAAGGAGGGGUGAACCAGCCCAGGUCAGAAAUGGAGCAGGCCAAAACCCCCGUGCUGAUCAGUAGUGGGAUCGCACCUGCGAAUAGCCACUGUACUCCAGCCUGGGCAACAUAGCGAGACCCCAUAU
ensembl:misc_RNA Metazoa_SRP Metazoan signal recognition particle RNA